rnacentral:lncRNA from 1 species
UCAACCAUCAAAAAAAAGUAAUAAUAGUUUUUCUUUGAAAAUAAUUAUAGGCCUCCUAAGAGUAAACUGUUUUAUCUGUAUUUUUGAGCUAAAUUUCUUGAGCAAGAAUAAGGAAAGUUUUUUCUUUUCCUUUCUUUUGAGGGAAGAAUUUGGCAAGCUCAACCUCAUUGCCGCCAAGUGGGUUAAUUAGUUCAAGGAUCG